UCGCCUGUUUACCAAAAACAUCACCUCUAGCAUAACAAGUAUUAGAGGCAUUGCCUGCCCAGUGACUAAAGUUAAACGGCCGCGGUAUCCUGACCGUGCAAAGGUAGCAUAAUCACUUGUUCCUUAAUUAGGGACUAGAAUGAAUGGCUAAACGAGGGUUCAACUGUCUCUUACUUUCAAUCAGUGAAAUUGACCUUCCAGUGAAGAGGCUGGAAUACUACAAUAAGACGAGAAGACCCUAUGGAGCUUUAAUUUACUAGUUUAAUUUAUAUGACAACAACCUAAUGGACCAAGACAAAAUAAAUAUAAACUAAAAAAUUUCGGUUGGGGUGACCUCGGAGAAUAGAAAAUCCUCCGAAUGAUUUUAACCUAGACCCACAAGUCAAAGUAAUAUUAAUAUCUUAUUGACCCAAUUAUUGAUCAACGGACCAAGUUACCCUAGGGAUAACAGCGCAAUCCUAUUUAAGAGUCCAUAUCGACAAUUAGGGUUUACGACCUCGAUGUUGGAUCAGGACAUCCCAAUGGUGCAGAAGCUAUUAAUGGUUCGUUUGUUCAACGAU
rnacentral:rRNA from 1 species